rnacentral:sRNA from 1 species
CUCAACCGCAAGGAGGGGGAUGCCUAAGGCAGGGCUAGUGACUGGGGUGAAGUCGUAACAAGGUAGCCGUACCGGAAGGUGUGGCUGGAUCACCUCCUUAAAGGGAGACCUAAUUCAGGUAGGAGACGAAAAAAAAGUAGUCCCUACCAAGAAUCAAUCCCAAAAGGUCGGAGCGAGGCGAAAUUGGCUUUCAAACUAGGUUCUGGGUUCACACAAGACCUGAAUCAGGAACAAGGGCUAUUAGCUCAGGUGGUUAGAGCGCACCCCUGAUAAGGGUGAGGUCCCUGGUUCGAGUCCAGGAUGGCCCACCUGUACAGGUGGCAAAAACAAAGAAGCGAGGAAUCAGCACCUUAUCUUAUUUAUAUAGUAAGAGAGAAUGCUGGCUCUGAGUUCAGAGUCCAGAGGAACCUUGAAAACUGCAUAGAGCUAGGUGAAAAAGCCAAAAAAGAAGACCGCAAGGUCAAGCUAAUAAGGGCUAACGGUG